AUUGAACGCUGGCGGCAGGCCUAACACAUGCAAGUCGAGCGGAGCGGCGGACGGGGGAGUAAUGGCUAGGAAUCUGCAUGGUAGUGGGGGAUAACGACCGGAAAUGGGCGCUAAUACCGCAUCCUAUCAGAUGAGCCUAGGUGGGAUUAGCUAGUGGGUGGGGUAAAGGCCUACCCAGGCGACGACCCGUAACUGGACUGAGAGGAUGAUCAGGCACACUGGAACUGAGACACGGUCCAGACUCCUACGGGAGGCAGCAGUGGGGAAUAUUGCACAAUGGGCGCAAGCCUGAUGCAGCCAUGCCGCGUGUAUGAAGAAGGCCUUCGGGUUGUAAAGUACUUUCAGCGGGGAGGCGGUACCCGAAGAAGAAGCACCGGCUAACUCCGUGCCAGCAGCCGCGGUAAUUG
rnacentral:rRNA from 1 species